rnacentral:tRNA from 1 species
GGGUGCUUAGCUCAGUUGGGAGAGCGUCGCCCUUACAAGGCGAAGGUCGCAGGUUCGAACCCUGCAGCACCCACCA